rnacentral:rRNA from 1 species
AGAUAACCGCUGAAAGCAUCUAAGCGGGAAACUUGCCUUGAGAUGAGUCUUCCCUGACCCUUUAAGGGUCCUAAAGGAACGUUUAAGACUAAGACGUUGAUAGGUUGGGUGUGUAAGCGUAGCGACACGUUGAGCUAACCAAUACUAAUGAACCGUGAGGCUUAACCUG